rnacentral:rRNA from 1 species
AACGGAGGGAGCGAGUGUUACUCAUCGUAACUGGGUGUAAAACGUCUGUAGAUGGUUUAUCAAGUUUUUUAUCUAAAUUCGUUUGAAAGGCGUAUAUUUAUUAAUACUGUUAGACUGGAGUUUAGUGGAUUGUGGCGGUGCCUUGUGUGUAAAAGUGAAAUUUGUAAAAACCCAAGGAACGAACAUUUGGUGAAAACAGCUACUAAUACUAAACUGACAUUGAGAGACGAAAGUAUAGGGAGCGAACGGG